UAGAUAAAUAAAGUCUUUAAAAAUAAAUAAAUAAAUAAAUAAAAUAAGGACAUCAAUUAUAUUAGAUUAGGGCCCACUCCAGUGAUUUCAUCUUAACUUGAUCCUAUGCAAAAACCUGAUUCCCAGAUAAGGUCACACUCUCAGGUAUUGUGGGUUAGGAUAUCAACAUCUUUUGGGGGGACACAACUCAAUCCAUAAUAGGUAUCUUAUGAUUGGUCAUAUGAUCAGUCUUCCGUGGUGACCCAAACACUGCUGAAUAUCGUGAUUUCUUCUUUACAUGUCAGCAAUAGAUCUCUUAGGGACCAUCCAACCCACAAAUUCUGUUUCUCUUUGUUAGAGAUGGAGCUCAGAUCAAGUCUUGACCCUGGUGAACAGAUCCAUAUUAAUGUUUCUCAAGUGGUCACAGAAUUAUGAUUUGGGGAUGAAACUUUCAUCAUUCCUUCCUAUUUUAAUCCACUCAGGUACAGAGAAGGCAUUAAUUAUACACAGAUGUCACGCAGAGUAAUUAAACAGGAGAGUUGGGUCUUGACAUUUCUCAAUGCUCAGCAUUGUUUGUGAGUCACCAUAAUGAUGUAAGGAAGGAAGCGUUGCCUUAGAUAACUUCACUUUUCUCCUGCCAAGUAGGUGGUUCCAUUUACAAGUGUGACUUGGCUAAAAUGUCUUUAUCCACAAUCAUCCAAAGGAUAAUAUAAUUUCAAAACUGUGAUCAGAAUUCUUGAGACAGGUUUUAAUUUAUUCCCACUGGCUACUGACUAAGGGCCUGGGAAAAACUGAGGAUGAUCCUUAGAGUUAGAUAUGGAAAUGUUAGAAGGGCCAAAGACCCAAGGAUGCACCAGUCACUUGACUCACAGAUGAGAGUCCUGAAAUCCAGUACCUGUCUGUACUUACUAGACAGGUCAGCAGAAGAGAAGACCCGAGUCCAGGUCUCUUGGCUCCCAGUCCAAUCUUCCUUUCAGAGGGAAGUUCCAGUGGGGGGUUCUCUCAGCCUGUUUCAUGCCUCCAACAAGCGUUAGUCUUGAAGAUCUCAGGUAAUGUUCUGGCAGAGAGAUCACAGGUUCUAGAGGGUUAGGGCUCCGUGGAGCCUUGUAGAGCAUCUACUGUCGAGAAGAGACUCUAGUCUAAACCCCUCACUUUACAGAGCCAGAAACUGGGAUCCAGAGAAAAGCUGAUUGGGUUCCUGCCACUAGCCUGGGACAGACCUGUGACCAAAACAGAGAUAUCUAGGUGGAGCUCAGGAGGAAUAUCUCCUUUGUUGCCUUAUUAGCUAUGACUCUUGGUUUUGCCUUAAUAUUUAGUGCCUUCUCUAAGGCUUAUAAUACCUACCUUCAUUUUAUCACAGUCUGUGAUCAAGUGAUAUUUGACUACCCCUUCACAUACAAUAGAAGAAUUUUAUUUCUCUUUUCCCAGUCUUUAUGCUAUUGUUGACUUUUACUUAUAUAAAUGCUAUAAACUCCCAAAUACAUGGUUAUUACUUUGUUUGGAUAGGCAGUUGUAUUUUAAAGAGAUUAAGAGGAAAAAGGACUCAUACAUUUACUCAUAGUCUUUUUUUUUUUGGUCCCAUGGUCUUCCUUCCUUUGUGUAGAUCUGUUUGUCCCACUGGUAUGUUUUUCCUUUGGUGACACAUUUUUUUCAGCCCUUCAAGGUCGGAGAAGGUCUUUAUUUCACCUUCAUUUUUCAAGGAUAGUUUUUGCUGGAUGUAACAUUGUACGUUGACAAACUCUGGCUGCCUUGGUCUCUUCAAUUCAGGGUCUCUGCUGGGUUCUUCCUGGGUCUCCCUCCUGGCACGGCAGCUGGGAAACUUUCUCAAGGCAGCAAGCUGGUAUAACCAAAGGGCUCAUCUUCUGUGUUUUCCACUUCUUAGAGAUCACUGUCCUUCAUUACCUGAUUUUCAGUGUCUAAAAAGCCAUGUUUCAUAUAAUGUGUCUGCUUUUUGGGGUGGGGGGGUCGUGGUUUAGGUAGGAGGGUGCAUUUGAUCCCUGUUAAUCCAUCUUGGCUCCUUGCAGAGGCUGGAAUGGCUGAAAUUUGAUUUUCUUGAAUUUGGAGGCUUUCCCACCCCUUCAGCGUUUUAUUCGAGGGUCAGGGCACCUCUUAUAGUACAGAGACAUGGACUGGCAGGAGCCCAUCUGGUCCUGAACCACUGAGUUGUGCUGGUGGCUGCUGAGACAUCUCUGGUCUCCAUGAUCCUACAGCUCUGGGAGCUCUUUUGCUUCUUCUGCACUGUGCCGGGUAUCCAGGAGGCUUUGUGAAUCUGUUACCCCCUAGACCCAGAGCCAUGUAGCCAUUCUCUCUUUCUGUGAUGAGUUCCUCUCCCCAGGCCUAUGAUGGGGAGCAUGUGCACAUUCUCCUCCCAAGAACACCCUGAUUUCUUGGCUCUUACCAUCUCUCUUUCUUCAUCUCUUUCCCUCCCCACAUCCCCUCCUUAGCUUUGGGGAAAUCUUUCCCUUAUCUGGAAUGGGAGUGGACGUUGGGGUCUUGCCUAUGAGCAAACGCAAAUUCCUCAAAGGCUUGGAGCCUUGGGAAGACAGAACACAGUCUCUCAGGCCAUUUGUACUUUCUGCCUGUCACGUCCUUCUCCAUAGACAAUGCGGAGAACCGAUCAUUUGUCUGAAGAGGAGGUGGGAAAAGGGGAAUAUCAAAGCAGUAAUAUCAAAGUCAGAAGAAGUGCUCUUCAUUUUGCUGGGACAUUUGUUUUUUGAAGGCAUUCCAUUUGUAGCGAUUUAAAAGUAACAAAGUAUUUUUUUUAAGAAAGGGUAUGCUAAAGAGAGGCUUAACUUCUUUAAUCUUUUUUAGUAUUACUAUAUUGGUAUGGCAAAUGUAAGCUAGAUUUGGGAUAUAUAAUUACUUGGCUGUAUUCAAUGGUAAUGUUCAACAUGGCACACAAAGCUGUUAUUUUUAGCAUCCUGAAUAAAAUAUUUUCUCUACUUAGCUUUUGCCUUCCCUGCCACAUCCAUUCAAAUUAACCUUGAUACAUUAUUGAUGUAUCCUCAAUACUUAGUUUCUAUACAUAAUUUUUAACCAAUAAACAUCUUUAAAAAGAUCUAAGAUGCUUAAUCUCAUAACCAUAGAACUUUGAGGUAUUUAGCUUGGCCUGACUUCCAGCCCUGCACUGCUCCUUUCCUAUAGCUGUGGGCACAGGACCCCAGACAGCCCCAUGCCUGUCUCUACGAUUAAUUCUGACCUCAAAAUAGGUGAAACUUAAGAAUUCUUAUGCCCACACUGGCAGGUGAAUUUCCAAGUGGCUUCUGGGUUGCCCCUGACCUUGUGCACCAAGUUCUCCAGCUGGGCUUUUGAUGUGCUUCUGAGACACAGAGCCACUGAGUCCCAGUUCUGGUGUUCAAGGCCCCCUCAACAGCAGACCUAGUAUUGUUGUUCUCCCAGGAUUGGGUCCUCGUAUUAUGCCAUAAAGAAUGGUCCUUUCUAUCUUUGGAUAGUCUUCUCCAGGGUUAAUCAUGUGCCCACACAUCUAGAUAUCCCUGUCACUUAUCUUCAGAUCCCAACAGGUUAGAGCUCUGCCUAUUUACUGAACACUAUGGUAGUCAGAGACCUUCUCUAGCACACUUACCCCUGUGACACACACCUUUUAAAACAAUGUAUAUGAGAUAUAUGUCCUUCCCACAUCUACUAGAAGGCAGCUUGGCCCUAUAAUUUCCAUGUCAUAGUCUAGCCCAGAGUUAGAUGUUAAAUGUGUGUCUGUGAUGCACACACCCCCACAGAAGGUCAGGGUAACCCUGAAAUUGGAUGUGCAGUUUUCCACCCUCUCAGCUAUAGUAAGACCCCUUAAGAGAAUUGGGUUCCUUCCUGAGGACUCCAUUCCACAAUCUGAAAAAAGGAGAAUCAUAACUGCCCUCUCAUGGGUGUUAUGGACAGAAAUGAUGGUUAUAAAGAGAUAUUACCCAAACUGUUAGCAUGGCUGCUUCUGAAGAGUGAAAUUGUGUGUAUACGAGGGGACAUCACUUUCAAUUUUAUCAUUCUGUUUUAUUUAAUUAUACACAAUGAGAAAUUAUUACUUUCAUCAUCAUCACCAUCACCACCACCACCACCACCACCACCACCAUCAUUAUCAUGGUAAAAAGUAGAGAAAAAUGACUUUGAAGGAAUAAUUCAGAACAGAAGCUAGAGUCUCUUGCUACCAUGCUUGGACAAUGUUAAGGGAUUUCUGAUGCUUCACUGUAGUACACUGAUUUCUGGUCUUCUUUGGUAACAUUUCAACUGUCCAGUAGGUCCUCAUAGGAGUAUCACCAGGUUGGGAAAAGAGAGACAGCUUGACAGAAAGAGGACAUUCUGAAAAAGGGUGUAGAGUCUGAAUAAUAGAAUAUGGGUCAGAAUUGCUAGACUGAGAUCUGCCAGAAACAACAGCUUAGACCUUUUGGCCAGAGGUCCCUCUAUGAGCUGUUUAACAGUACUUCUCUAUCCUCUCUUCCUCCUGCUGCUCCAUAUUCUGUUGCUUUCUGGUAGAAAAUCUGUCCCAUUCUAGGGAAGGACCACUACAUGCUCUCAACAUCCAUUUUGUACCACCUUGUAACCCAAGUAGUUAUAUCACUGCUCUCAAGAUCAUCAUGAGUCCUAUGGCUGAAGGAGGCUUUCUUACCAUCUGUAAGAAUACUAACUGCCAUCUUCCAUCUGUCAUUACAGACUUCACGAUGCUUGACUAAAGGCACAGAGCCAUCAACUCUGGAAUAGUCAGACUUGUAUUCAAAUAUUAACCUUGCAACUUAAAGGCUGAGUAUUCAUGGGCAAGAUAUCAAACCAAUCUAUGCAUCAAUUUUCUUUGUGUGUAAAGUGGAUAUAAGUUUAAUCCCAACUCUAUAUGGUUGUUAUGUGCAUUGAAUGAGAUUAAUCACAUAAAGGACCUAGCAGAUGACUGGAAUAUUGUAAAUUCUCAUGAAAUGUGAGUUUUUGCUGUUGUUGUCAUUGUUAUGUUCCUAAGGGAUAAGUGUUUAGUAAUUGAACAAAAGGGUGAUAAUAUCUCUUAUCUUCAUUACUUACUGGUCAGAAUACCCAUGCGGUCUACGGUCAUACCACCCUGAACACACCUGAUCUUGUCAGAAUACCCAUGUGGUGCCUUUUUCUCAGAUUUGGUGGUUUCUUGUUUAAGAAGAUUCCCUGUUAUCUUUAAAGACAGGAUUCUUUCAGAACAAUGCCUCUUUGGUCUUCAAGGUGUCCUGUUUUGGGGUAUGAAUCAUGCUACUGGAAAUUUUCUCCACAGCUAGUGAAACAUCACACCAGAGUCAGACUAUGCCUUGCUGAACCAUCACUCUUGCUGGAGGCGUUCCAACAAUGGUGCUCUUCCCAGGCAAAUAGGACAUCCAGGUGCCCUCUUUUUAACAAAUGCCUCCCAUUUUCAUAACAGUUCAGGGUGAAAGUUAAAGGAAAUGAUGAAGUAACUUACACCAGAGAAGCAAUUUGUAUGUCAGGGACCUAAGUCAUAUAUUCAGCAUUUAUGAGUUGAGAUUUAAUAUGUACCAGGCAUCCUACUAGGGGUUGGGUGUAGAGAGGUGAAUGAAAUAGGCAUGGUGUCUGACCUUCAUGGAGCUCACUGUUGGAUAGGCAUGGGAGUGACACAUAUAGGCUAAUAAAUAGGUAAGCAAAUGUAUAAAUAUGUAAUUAUAAAAUGAGAACAUCUAAUAUAAGGAACAAUGGGGGUAGGGAUCAAAGGAAACCUAUUUUAAUCAGUAAUAUUUAACAUGCAACUUUGAGGAUAGGAAAUGCCAGUAAAGAUCAUUUCAGACAGAGCAAAUGGCAAAACAAUGACUCCAAAGCAGUAAUAAUCUCAGCUAGUCCAAGGAAUUAAGAAGAGGUAGUUUGGUUAAAUGUAGUGAGGGGGAAGAGUGAGUCCACAAGGUAGACAAUAUGAACAGGGGGCAAGAUCAUACACGGUCUUGUGGGCUGCAGUAUUGUGAGCGAGCAUUUCCAAAGAAGACUUGGAGAAUGCAUUAAAGGAAAGCCAAGGGGGAAACAUCCCUCUUCCUUUCCUUUCCUUUCCUUUCUUUCCUCCCUCACUCCCUCCCCCUCUCCCCCUUCCCCCUUUCUUCCUUCCUUCCUCCCUUCCCUAAAUAUUUGGCAAAAGCUUGCUAUGUGUCAGUAUAAUUCUAGUUACUAGAGAUACAGAGUUAAACAAAGAGAUAGAAAUUUAGCCCUGUUGUUUCAAACAUUCUAUUCAGGAGGCUGUUGCUGUAGUCCAGCUCGGGGGGCAAGGGGGCACCAGACGUUAGGAGGGCGGUGAAGGGGACAGGAGCAGAAGAGUUUUACAUCCCUCUUUCACGGGCUGCCACUCCACGCAUUAGCUCACAAUGCCAAUAUUUCACCUAGUUU